rnacentral:lncRNA from 1 species
AAAAAUUUCUUCAAACAUUUUUUUGAGAGGAUUAAUAUUCAACAGCAUAGUGAAUUGCUCUAAGAGAAAACAAAAAUUUUAAGUUCAUUAGAACACAUUCAUUCUGUGUCAGAAACCUAUGCUGUGUCAACUAUUUAAUCACAAUCCAAAUUUAGAGCUGAAUCCAGCUUGAAUGUUGUGUCCAUACUUGCCCCAACCGUUCAGGGUUCAACCUCUGCGGUCGUAUAAAGCUACGCCCUGCGGAGCAUCUGGUUGUCAU